UGAAUGAAUCAGAUAAUCACUGUGUCCUGAGGAGGGUGAGAGGUGACUGGGAGGGCCAGCGCUCCCACCAUGCCUUGUUUCUCAAAGACUGGGUCUCCCGGUUAGCUUCAGGUCAGCCUGGAGGGCAGAGGUCAGCAGCAUCCCAGAAACACAGGUCCCAGAGCAGGAGCCUUACCAAAGGGCGACUCCAGGUCACUGGGCCCGCUGUGGUCUCAUGCCUGGCAGAGGCUGGCAGAUCAUCUUGCCAGCUUUAUAGAGAAGCUUUGGGUGCCCGACAGAUGAACGGAACCUCAGAGCUUUUCUCACUCCAAGGCUGUGUGAUUUUUCAACAUCACAACCCCAGCCAGGUGCCCACAGGAGGCGCUUCUCUGUACCAUCUCACUACCGGACGUCAAUACAAACGCGCAGAGGUGACUUCCUCAAGGACACAGUGGUGCAGCAGGGAUUUCACCAAGGAUCUUUUGCCAAAGCCGGUACUCCCCACAUCCACAGUAAUAUAUUGAUAGAUUCUUAAAGGAAGACAUUCUCUGUUAGCAGAUGAGACAGACAACAUGGCACAGUUCACUCAGAGCUCAGAGCUGUCUACCCGCGGGGUCAUCUCUUGCUGCAUCCAGAAAGCUGCAACAGAAAGAGACCCUUCUAAGCCUAGGCUUUAAAACUGAGAGGGACCCUGGGAAUCUCAUCCUCCAGCUGCCUGCACUGUAAGGAUAGAGACACCCAGAUCAGGAGAGAAGUGACUUGCCCAAGGUCACCUGUUGGCAGUGGGCACAGCGUAAGCAUCUGGUCUCCAAGUCCUGGGCUCCCACAGCCCUGAAGGCUGGCUCGACUGGAGGGAAUCAGUCCUCUGACCUCAGAUGUGCAGGCUCUUUUCCAAUGCACAUUUCUAACUAACCAUGCCUUUAGGGCCGGACACAGAGGCUCGCACCUGUAAUCCCAGCACUUUGGGAGGCUGACCUGGAAGGGUCGCUUGAGCCCAGGAGUUCAAGACCAGCCUGGGCAAUGUAGUGAGAACCUGUCUCUACAAAAAUAAAAAUAAAAAAAAUUAGCUGGGCA
rnacentral:lncRNA from 13 species